AUGUUACUAGAGACAUCUAAUCCCAAUACCCGAGUAUAGUACUUCAUAAUCCGACCAUGACAGUCAAGGUAGUUCAAGCCCACUUUAGAGAUCCACAUUUCUUUUUUUGAAAAUUUGGUAUCCGGCUUUAGGAUCGACUAAUUCAAUAGGACAAGAUCCACAUUUCUAUAUCUAGACGACCUAGUUCAUGAUCAUCAUCAUAUAUAAUUAACGAGAUAAUGACCAACCACAUAAUGCUGGAAAAGAUAAGAUGAAAGAUGAAAUAGAUUGAUUAAUUAUCUUUAAUUAUAAUAUGAUCUAAUUAUGAAAUUUGUUUGUGACCCCUUCCUCCUCGACUUGGACCAGAGUAUGCUUGAGCCAUGAUGAAGCGAUUGAAGGGGAAGGAAGUAGGUAAUGAAUGCCUCGAACUCGAACCCUCCACACACCAUGAUGAGAAUGAGAAACAAAAUAAGAUCAUAAGCAUCAAAGUAAUGACUAUGAGAACAUGAUGAUGUUUGGUGAACAAUAUGAAAUUCCUACAUUUCAUCUCUCUAUCGAUUUUUUUGCUCUUUACACACGUAGACUAAAAUUGUGUCUUCUAGUU
rnacentral:lncRNA from 1 species